rnacentral:rRNA from 1 species
UACGUAGGUGGCGAGCGUUGUCCGGAUUUAUUGGGCGUAAAGGGAGCGUAGGCGGACUUUUAAGUGAGAUGUGAAAUACCCGGGCUCAACUUGGGUGCUGCAUUUCAAACUGGAAGUCUAGAGUGCAGGAGAGGAGAAUGGAAUUCCUAGUGUAGCGGUGAAAUGCGUAGAGAUUAGGAAGAACACCAGUGGCGAAGGCGAUUCUCUGUACUGUAACUGACGCUGAGGCUCGAAAGCGUGGGGAGCAAACAGGAUUAGAUACCCCGGUA